UAGGGUAUCUUCGGCAAUGGGGGCAACCCUGACCGAGCAACGCCGCGUGAGUGAAGAAGGUUUUCGGAUCGUAAAGCUCUGUUGUAAGAGAAGAACGUGUGUGAGAGUGGAAAGUUCACACAGUGACGGUAACUUACCAGAAAGGGACGGCUAACUACGUGCCAGCAGCCGCGGUAAUACGUAGGUCCCGAGCGUUGUCCGGAUUUAUUGGGCGUAAAGCGAGCGCAGGCGGUUUAAUAAGUCUGAAGUUAAAGGCAGUGGCUUAACCAUUGUUCGCUUUGGAAACUGUUAAACUUGAGUGCAGAAGGGGAGAGUGGAAUUCCAUGUGUAGCGGUGAAAUGCGUAGAUAUAUGGAGGAACACCGGUGGCGAAAGUGGCUCUCUGGUCUGUAACUGACGCUGAGGCUCGAAAGCGUGGGGAGCAAACAGG
rnacentral:rRNA from 1 species